UACGUAGGCAGCAAACGUUGUUCGGAGUUACUGGGCGUAAAGAGUACGUAGGCGGUUUGCCAAGUUUGGUGUGAAAUCUCCUGGCUUAACUGGGAGGGUGCGCCGAAUACUGGCGGGCUUGAGUAUUGGAGAGGAAAGCGGAAUUCCUGGUGUAGCGGUGAAAUGCGUAGAUAUCGAGAGGAACACCUGCGGCGAAGGCGGGUUGCUGGGCUGACACUGACGCUGAGGCGCGAAAGCCAGGGGAGCGAACGGG
rnacentral:rRNA from 1 species